rnacentral:rRNA from 1 species
UACAGAGGUCCCGAGCGUUGUUCGGAUUCACUGGGCGUAAAGGGUGCGUAGGUGGUAAGGCAAGUCAGGUGUGAAAUCUCCGGGCUCAACCCGGAAAUGGCAUUCGAAACUACCUUGCUAGAGGGUUUGAGGGGGGACUGGAAUACUUGGUGUAGCAGUGAAAUGCGUAGAUAUCAAGUGGAACACCAGUGGCGAAGGCGAGUCCCUGGAAAACUCCUGACACUGAGGCACGAAAGCUAGGGGAGCAAACAGG